GGGUGAUUGAAGUUUGGGAUACUGUUGGUACUGUGGCAACUGUGUAGGUAUGGGUGCAAGGUGUCCUUAGAUGAAGGAGUGGAGAGUCCAUUCAGCAGCAAUAUGGAAGAUGCUGUAACAUAGGGUGAAGCAGAGAAAUGUGAUGGAACAGCGGAAGAAUUGAACAAGCAAUAGUUUGCCCAUGGUCCUAAUAAUAUUAUACAUAGCCCAUGUUUUUUCUAGAUUUCUUAAUGCAUUAAAAAAAUCUGUCCCUUCAACAAUAUUUCAAUAUAACCAUUUCAAGUUUCAAUAGAUUCUGUAUUAAAAG